UAGGUGAACAAGGAUUCUUCCUGUAUAAUCCCGGGAAUAUGGCUCGGGAGUCUCUACCAGACAGCCGUAAACUGUCUGACUACAGGAAGAGAGAUAAUAUAA
rnacentral:ncRNA from 2 species